rnacentral:rRNA from 1 species
UACGUAGGGGCCGAGCGUUGUCCGGAGUUACUGGGCGUAAAGCGCGCGCAGGCGGUCGAUCAAGUCGAGUGUGAAAGCCCCCGGCUCAACUGGGGAGGGUCAUUCGAUACUGAUCGACUCGAAGGCAGGAGAGGGUAGUGGAAUUCCCGGUGUAGUGGUGAAAUGCGUAGAUAUCGGGAGGAACACCAGUGGCGAAGGCGACUACCUGGCCUGUUCUUGACGCUGAGGCGCGAAAGCUAGGGGAGCAAACGGG